AGAUUUGUACUGCUACACAAGGUUUACUCAAUGAUGAGCGAUAGCAAGCUGUGUCCUAUCAUACACAGACACCAUCUGCUGACACCCGUCACACUUUGAAGAAACCAGAAAACAAAUAUUCAGCAAGAAAACCAGUGAGCUAAAUAAACUUCUUUACUUUA